rnacentral:lncRNA from 1 species
UAAUUUUUUUAUAUUUAUUUUCAUUGUGAAAACAAGUUUUGCAAGUAUAGAAUUCUUCUUAAAGUGGUAUUCUCCACAGGAAAAUAAAAAAGUGAAACAUCCUCAUGGUUUUAGGGUUCUUGCCAUGUCCUGGGGUCUUUUAAACAACCUGCUUCGUCAGGUAGGAAGGGAAUUGUUUGACAGAGAGGAAUGGCCACUUCUCUAUGCUAGUCACAGGGGUGUCCCUUUGGACAUAUGUUUGUUACGUGCUGAUUUGACCAAAAUGCAUUUUGCAUUUACAGGCUCCUGGUUUCUGGUCUCUAUGAACAUUUUAUCUGCUCCAGAAGAGAAAGGGAGCAAAAGGACAAGGAUUGUUCAUGGUCCUACAAGUUAACCGUUAGAGAGCAGGGGAAAGAGGGAGGGUGGAAGAAAGAAGUGCAAACCUUAUUUUCUUCUAGAGAUUUGGCCUUCGGGCUCUGCUAAGUACUGAGGAGAAGUGUGCCCACUCCUCUUUAGGCAUCCAAUCAGAGUAAGCAAACAAGAACCAAGGCGGGGCUGAAGGGCCCUAGUGGUAGGAGGUGUUCUGAAUCUAGACCUUUCCUGCUCCUUCAGGAGCUUCAGGUGUUACUGACGUUGGCCCAGGAGGGGCCGGGUUUCCCCAACACUCAAGUCGAAAAGCCUUCCCUUUCUACCAGCCUCUCCCCCUCUCUGUCAGACUCGGCUGCUGUCAGUUUGCUGC